UGGCAGAGAUGCCUUAGUGCCUUCGGGAACUGUGAGACAGGUGCUGCAUGGCUGUCGUCAGCUCGUGUUGUGAAAUGUUGGGUUAAGUCCCGCAACGAGCGCAACCCUUAUCCUUUGUUGCCAGCGCGUGAUGGCGGGAACUCAAAGGAGACUGCCGGUGAUAAACCGGAGGAAGGUGGGGAUGACGUCAAGUCAUCAUGGCCCUUACGAGUAGGGCUACACACGUGCUACAAUGGCGCAUACAAAGAGAAGCGACCUCGCGAGAGCAAGCGGACCUCACAAAGUGCGUCGUAGUCCGGAUCGGAGUCUGCAACUCGACUCCGUGAAGUCGGAAUCGCUAGUAAUCGUGGAUCAGAAUGCCACGGUGAAUACGUUCCCGGGCCUUGUACACACCGCCCGUCACACCAUGGGAGUGGGUUGCAAAAGAAGUAGGUAGCUUAACCUUCGGGA
rnacentral:rRNA from 1 species